AGUCAUAUGCUUGUCUCAAAGAUUAAGCCAUGCAUGUCUCAGUACAAGCCAAAUUAAGGUGAAACCGCGAAAGGCUCAUUAAAUCAGUUAUGGUUCCUUAGAUCGUACCCACAUUUACUUGGAUAACUGUGGUAAUUCUAGAGCUAAUACAUGCCAACAGAACUCCGACCGGAGACGGAAGGAGUGCCUUUAUUAGAUCAAAACCAAUCGGUGGCAUGGCCUUGGUGCUGUGUCAUCGUACAACAUGGUGAAUCUGAAUAACGUUUGCUGAUCGCACGGUCUCGCACCGGCGACGCAUCUUUCAAAUGUCUGCCUUAUCAACUGUCGAUGGUAGGUUCUGCGCCUACCAUGGUUGUAACGGGUAACGGGGAAUCAGGGUUCGAUUCCGGAGAGGGAGCCUGAGAAACGGCUACCACAUCCAAGGAAGGCAGCAGGCGCGCAAAUUACCCACUCCCGGCACGGGGAGGUAGUGACGAAAAAUAACGAUACGGGACUCAUCCGAGGCCCCGUAAUCGGAAUGAGCACACUUUAAAUCCUUUCACGAGGAUCAAUCGGAGGGCAAGUCAGGUGCCAGCAGCCGCGGUAAUUCCUGCUCCGAUAGCGUAU
rnacentral:rRNA from 4 species